GCCCCCGUAGCUCAGUUGGAUAGAGCGACUGCCUUCUAAGCAGCAGGUCGCAGGUUCGAGUCCUGCCGGGGGCG
rnacentral:tRNA from 1 species